CAGGGCAGACUAAGGUCUGUUCCCAGAGGCCUUUGAUCACCACAAUAUGGAAUUAAAAUGUGAGUGUGUAUGUCUCAAGAUAUGUCAACUUUGGCUAUGCAUUAGAACCCUGUAAGAGUCUUAAAAAACAAAACUAGGGUCCAACACUAGACAUAUCAAGGUGGAAUCUCUGGUCAGAGAUCCAUUCAUGGAGCUCCCAAGGUGAUUCUAAG
rnacentral:lncRNA from 1 species